rnacentral:rRNA from 1 species
UACAGAGGUCCCAAGCGUUGUUCGGAUUCACUGGGCGUAAAGGGUGCGUAGGUGGUCUCGCAAGUCUGAUGUGAAAUCUCCGGGCUUAACCCGGAAAUGGCAUUGGAAACUGCGGGGCUAGAGUGUUGGAGGGGGGACUGGAAUUCUCGGUGUAGCGGUGAAAUGCGUAGAUAUCGAGAGGAACACCUGCGGCGAAGGCGGGUUGCUGGGCUGACACUGACGCUGAUGCGCGAAAGCCAGGGGAGCGAACGGG